rnacentral:rRNA from 1 species
AGAACGAACGCUGGCGGCAGGCUUAACACAUGCAAGUCGAACGCCCCGCAAGGGGAGUGGCAGACGGGUGAGUAACGCGUGGGAACGUGCCCUUCGCUUCGGAAUAGCCUCGGGAAACUGGGAGUAAUACCGAAUACGCCGUAUUGGGAAAGAUUUAUCGGCGAAGGAUCGGCCCGCGUUGGAUUAGGUAGUUGGCGGUGUAAUGGACCACCAAGCCUACGAUCCAUAGCUGGUCUGAGAGGAUGAUCAGCCACACUGGGACUGAGACACGGCCCAGACUCCUACGGGAGGCAGCAGUGGGGAAUCUUGGACAAUGGGCGCAAGCCUGAUCCAGCCAUGCCGCGUGAGUGAAGAAGGCCUUAGGGUUGUAAAACUCUUUCGCCGGUGAAGAUAAUGACGGUAACCGGAGAAGAAGCCCGGCUAACUUCGUGCCAGCAGCCGC